CUACGGGGCGCACCAGUGAGGAAUAUUGGUCAAUGGGCGCGAGCCUGAACCAGCCAUCCCGCGUGCAGGAUGACGGCCCUAUGGGUUGUAAACUGCUUUUCUAUGCCAAGAAACCUGAUUACGUGUAAUCAGUUGCCGGUAGCAUAGGAAUAAGCAUCGGCUAACUCCGUGCCAGCAGCCGCGGUAAUAAGGAGGAUGCAAGCGUUAUCCGAAUUCAUUGGGUUUAAAGGGUGCGCAGGUGGGCUUGUAAGUCAGUGGUGAAAUGCUGCCGCUUAACGGUAGAACUGCCAUUGAUACUGCGAGUCUUGAGUAUGGUUGAGGUAGGCGGAAUGUGUUGUGUAGCGGUGAAAUGCAUAGAUAUGACACAGAACGCCAAUUGCGAAGGCAGCUUACUAAGCCAUUACUGACGCUGAGGCACGAAAGCGUGGGGAGCGAACAGGAUUAGAUACCCUAGUAGUC
rnacentral:rRNA from 1 species